ACAGGGAUUGCCCUAGUAACGGCGAGUGAAGCGGCAACAGCUCAAAUUUGAAAUCUGGCGUCUUUGGCGUCCGAGUUGUAAUUUGCAGAGGGCGCUUUGGCAUUGGCAGCGGUCCAAGUUCCUUGGAACAGGACGUCACAGAGGGUGAGAAUCCCGUACGUGGUCGCUAGCCUUUACCGUGUAAAGCCCCUUCGACGAGUCGAGUUGUUUGGGAAUGCAGCUCUAAAUGGGAGGUAAAUUUCUUCUAAAGCUAAAUACUGGCCAGAGACCGAUAGCGCACAAGUAGAGUGAUCGAAAGAUGAAAAGCACUUUGGAAAGAGAGUUAAAAAGCACGUGAAAUUGUUGAAAGGGAAGCGCUUGCAGCCAGACUUGCCUGUAGUUGCUCAUCCGGGUUUUUACCCGGUGCACUCUUCUAUAGGCAGGCCAGCAUCAGUUUGGGCGGUUGGAUAAAGGUCUCUGUCAUGUACCUCUCUUCGGGGAGAACUUAUAGGGGAGACGACAUGCAACCAGCCUGGACUGAGGUCCGCGCAUCUGCUAGGAUGCUGGCGUAAUGGCUGUAAGCGGCCCGUCUUGAAACACGGACCAAGGAGUCUAACAUCUAUGCGAGUGUUUGGGUGUCAAGCCCGAACGCGUAAUGAAAGUGAACGGAGGUGGGAACCUUUCGGGGUGCACCAUCGACCGAUCCUGAUGUCUUCGGAUGGAUUUGAGUAAGAGCAUAGCUGUUGGGACCCGAAAGAUGGUGAACUAUGCUUGAAUAGGGUGAAGCCAGAGGAAACUCUGGUGGAGGCUCGCAGCGGUUCUGACGUGCAAAUCGAUCGUCAAAUUUGGGCAUAGGGGCGAAAGACUAAUCGAACUAUCUAGUAGCUGGUUCCUGC
rnacentral:rRNA from 1 species